rnacentral:rRNA from 1 species
GAUGAACGCUGGCGGCGUGCUUAACACAUGCAAGUCGAGCGAUGAAGUUUCCUUCGGGAAACGGAUUAGCGGCGGACGGGUGAGUAACACGUGGGUAACCUGCCUCAUAGAGUGGAAUAGCCUUCCGAAAGGAAGAUUAAUACCGCAUAACGUUGAAAGAUGGCAUCAUCAUUCAACCAAAGGAGCAAUCCGCUAUGAGAUGGACCCGCGGCGCAUUAGCUAGUUGGUGGGGUAAAGGCCUACCAAGGCAAUGAUGCGUAGCCGAGUUGAGAGACUGAUCGGCCACAUUGGGACUGAGACACGGCCCAA